rnacentral:tRNA from 1 species
AAGUAGUGAAGUAAAAUUACAUUUAGUUUCGACCUAAAAAUAGAGUUAUAUAUAACUCCUUACUUU